rnacentral:rRNA from 1 species
AGUGAACGCUGGCGGUAGGCCUAACACAUGCAAGUCGAACGGCAGCACAGUAAGCGCUCGCUCUUACGGGUGGCGAGUGGCGGACGGGUGAGGAAUACAUCGGCAUCUACUUUUUCGUGGGUGAUAACGUAGGGAAACUUACGCUACUACCGCAUAUGUCCUACGGGUGAAAGCAGUGGAUCUUCGGACCUUGCGCGAUUGAAUGAGCCGGUGUCGGAUUAGCUAGUUGGCGGGGUAAAGGCCCACCAAGGCGACGAUCCGUAGCUGGUCUGAGAGGAUGAUCAGCCACACUGGAACUGAGACACGGUCCAGACUCCUACGGGAGGCAGCAGUGGGGAAUAUUGCACAAUGGGCGAAAGCCUGAUCCAGCCAUACCGCGUGGGUGAAGAAGGCCUUCGGGUUGUAAAGCCCUGUUGUUGGGAAAGAAAAGCAGCAGGUUAAUACCCCGCUGUUCUGACGGUACCCAAAGAAUAAGCACCGGCUAACUUCGUG